rnacentral:rRNA from 1 species
GUGCCAGCCGCCGCGGUAAUACAGAGGGUGCAAGCGUUAAUCGGAAUUACUGGGCGUAAAGCGCGCGUAGGUGGUUCAGUAAGAUGGGUGUGAAAUCCCCGGGCUCAACCUGGGAACUGCUUUCAUAACUGCUGAACUAGAGUACGGUAGAGGGUAGUGGAAUUUCCUGUGUAGCGGUGAAAUGCGUAGAUAUAGGAAGGAACACCAGUGGCGAAGGCGACUACCUGGACUGAUACUGACACUGAGGUGCGAAAGCGUGGGGAGCAAACAGGAUUAGAAACCCCCGUAGUCC